AAUCCAGAUCCAAAAUUCUAAAACACCUAAAAAUCAAAUACAUUUUCUAAAAAAGAAAAAAAAAUCACAAACUAAGCAGUGAGUGAAACCACCCAUCGGCCUCCUUAAUUUGCUUAUCAGCAAUUUUCGACACAAGCUGUGACUUUAGUAUCGAUCCGGCCUAUGAAAAAGGAAGAUAAAGAUAAAAACCUGGAAAUCAUUCAUAACUUAUCACAGAUAACCAGAAAACUUGAAUGAACAAAUGUUUUUGUGUGUGCAGGAUCCCAUAGUCGCAAAUGACCAGGAUCCCAUUGUCCCAAAUGACCACUUCUAAACCUUAGAAAUGAGUAUGUUUUUAUGUUCAAAGAAGUUAUCAUGCAAUGCUUUCUACAAAAGAAUAACAUAAUAGGGAAUGUCGGAUAAAAUUCUCCAUUAAAUAAUUCCCCAACAGAAAUUUGUUUGAAUUUUGUCUUCAAAUUUUGUCUUCAAUCUGUUUGAAUUUUUAGCUUUCAGUAAAAAUAUUACAGAGAUCACAGCUAGUUAAUAUUGAAUCCAAUUUUUCGAAAAUGGGGAGAGCAUGAGAACAAGAAUACCGAGCAUAUGUACUUGCAGUGAUGAACCGUAAAUGAAUGAACAAGGCUAUGGAGUUCAAAACAUUCAGACAAAAGAAGUACCGGAUAUUCAAAUGAAAAAACAAUAACUUGUUCUCUAGCUUUACUCCACCAUUUAAGUGCUCUCUAAUGUCAUGCAUGCAGUAACAUCGGUCAAGCUCUUGCUCUCAACUGCAUAAUCAAACACUUCAUAAGUAAUUAACUUGGAUUUCUUGUUUGGAGCUAAGAUAAGCCACCCAAAACAUGCUCUCAGUCAAAACUACUCUAACCUAGUCUAUUUCAACCUCUGUUUUUAAUAUUGUUUAUCCUAGAAUACACCUUUAGUUUUGGAUCACAAACUGUCACCCGAAGCUCAAAGUUUCGCCAUAAAAUACUCUCUGCAGAACCUAUUUAAUUAAUAUUACUUUUGUCAGUGGUGUAUGACUUGAAAGAUAACAAAACUAAAUUAUAGGAUGAAGAUUUAGUUUAUGAUAUAACACAAAAUAGUGAUAGUCCCUUCUAGAAUCCCAAACUAUUAAUUUAAAGGUAGUUAAAGACAGAUACACAAGUUGUUGGGCAAUGGACAGAUAGGAACGAUUACAAAACAACAUGAUGCAAAGCACCUCCAGCAUCUCAAUAACACUCUCCAAUCAAAUUUUCUACAGUUGUUCCAGGAAAUUUUGAAGGAGAAUAAAAACAGAGAAAAAAGUAAUUCCAGUGGAUACAUGAUUUCUCACUUGGAAAAUGGGAUUCUGAUACACCAGUCAACAGCACCAAUGAGGUUAAUUCAAUGACUAGUAAACAAAUUCAUCAAGCCGCGAAUAAGGUUCAUUUAUACCUCCAACAUAAUAAAGGAUAUAACAAAUAUGGUGAAUUGAAUGUGGACAUUUAAAUAAGGUUCAUUUAAAUGUUCAAAACAAAUCCAAGAUAAGCACUAAACCAACCAAUUUGAACGUGGACAAAUUCACAAAAGUCAGCCCCUUUCCGGACGAAAUGCUUCAGUUCCUAAAAACUUACACAAGUCUCUGUGUGUAAUGAGAUGGGGAACGAAUUUGGUAAUUCUAAAAGGAUAACUUCAUAUACAAUAACAUAUUAAAAAGGAAGAAUCUACUUUCAUAAACCACUAUGCCUAAAACUUACACAAAAUUGAAUGUAAUGCCCAGAAUUGAAGAGGACCUGUGUUGCAUCAAAUUCAAGUGCAUACAGAUGUGACAAUCCAAGUAAGAGCCCUAAAAAAAAAAAAAAAACCUUCUUAAGGAAGUGAAGAAGAAACAAUCUCCACCGAUCACCCGAUUCAAACCGUAUAUGCUUCAAAAUUUCCUUUUCACAAAUUAGAAAAAAAAAAGUGAUAAA
rnacentral:lncRNA from 1 species